GCUAGGCAUGGUGGUGCUUGCCUGUAGUCCCAGCUACUCAGGAGGCUGAGGUGAGAGGAUUGCUUGAUCCUAGGAGUUGCAGGCUGCAGUGAGCUAUGAUCAUGCCACUGCACUCCAACCUAGGCAACAGAGCAAGACCUUGUCUCAA
rnacentral:SRP_RNA from 1 species